GUGGAGAAGCUACUAAGGGCUUACGGUGGAUGCCUUAGGCGCCAAGUGCCGAUGAAGGACGUGGGAAACUGCGAUAAGCUCCGGUGAGCCGUUAACAGGCGCCGACCCGGAGAUUUCCGAAUGGGGAAACCCGCUGGAGCGAACCUCCAGCAUCCUCUGGCUGAACACAUAGGCUAGAGGAGGGGCACCCGGGGAACUGAAACAUCUAAGUACCCGGAGGAAAAGAAAUCAUUCCCCUAGUAGUGGCGAGCGAACGGGGAACAGCCCAAACCAGCCUGCGGGCUGGGGUUGUAGGGCCUUGCAUUGUGAAGUUACAAAUCAGUCGGUUAGCAGAAAGGUGUGGGACAGCCUGCCAAAGAGGGUAAUAGCCCCGUAUGCGAAAACGGACUGACUUCCGCAAGGUACCUGAGUACUGCCGGGCACGCUAAUCCGGCAGGAAUCUGGGGAGUCCACUCUCCAAGGCUAAAUACGCUUGGCGACCGAUAGUGAACAAGUACCGUGAGGGAAAGGUGAAAAGUACCCCUGUUAGGGGAGUGAAAUAGAACCUGAAACCGUAAGCUUACAAGCAGUCGGAGGGCUAAUGGCGUGUCGGUGCUAUAGAGAAAUCUUGUGCGCGGCGCUAUGCCUGACGGCGUGCCUCUUGGAGAAUGAGCCUGCGAGUUAAUCUCAGUGGCGAGGUUAAGGGAGUGACACCCGAAGCCGUAGCGAAAGCGAGUCUGAAUAGGGCGUAUAGUCGCUGGGAUUAGACCCGAAACCGGGUGAGCUACCCAUGGGCAGGGUGAAGCGAGUCUAACCACUCGUGGAGGCCCGAACCUACUAACGUUGCAAAGUUAGGGGAUGACCUGUGGGUAGAGGUGAUAUGCCAAACGAACUCGGAGAUAGCUGGUUCUCCCCGAAAUAGCUUUAGGGCUAGCGUUAUGCGUUUAGUACUGGAGGUACAGCACUGAAUGGGCUAGGGGGCUUACUGCCUACCGAACCCAAUCAAACUCGGAAUGCCAGUACUCCAUAGCAUAGCAGUCGGACUCCGGGAGAUGAGUUUCGGGGUCGAAAGGGAAACAGCCCAGAUCAUCGGCUAAGGUCCUUAAAUCUACGCUAAGUGGGAAACGAGGUGAGGUUACUUGAACAACCAGGAGGUUGGCUUAGAAGCAGCCAUCCUUUAAAAAGUGCGUAAUAGCUUACUGGUCUAGUGACCUUGCGCGGAAAACUUAACGGGGCUAAGCGUAGUACCGAAGCCAUGGGACUCGGCGUCAGUCGGGUCGGUAGGGGAGCGUUCCGCCAGCGGGGAAGGUCGACCGUAAGGACGGCUGGAGCGGGCGGAAGUGAGAAUGCAGGCAUGAGUAGCGUACAAACACGUGAGAACCGUGUUCGCCGUAAAUCUAAGGUUUCCAACGCCAGGUCAUUCCGCGUUGGGUUAGUCGGGGCCUUAGCCGAGGCCGAAAGGCGUAGGUGAUGGACAUCCGGUCAACAUUCCGGAACCGCCUAAAUAGAGCGAUGUGGGGACGCAGUGGGGUAGGUCAGCCUCCGAUUGGAUGUGGAGGUGCGAUCUGCAGAGGCGUUGAGGCUGGCAGGCAAAUCCACCAGCUGAGCCCAGGCAAGAGCGAGCCGCCAAGGCAUAAGUGAUUGAGCCUCGCUGCCGAGAAAAGCCACUAAGCGUUGAAGUUUGGGCGCCCGUACCGCAAUCCGACACUGGUAGAUGGGUGUAAAUGCACCAAGGCGAUCGGGAGAACCAUCGUUAAGGAACUAGGCAACAUGACCCCGUAACUUCGGGAGAAGGGGUACCUGGUGACAGGUCGCAGUAAAUUGGCUCUAGUGACUGUUUAACAAAAACACAGGUCUCUGCUAAGCCGUAAGGCGAAGUAUAGGGGCUGACGCGUGCCCAGUGCCGGAAGGUUAAGGGGAGAGGUUAGCGCAAGCGAAGCUUUGAACCGAAGCCCCGGUGAACGGCGGCCGUAACUAUAACGGUCCUAAGGUUCAUUCGCGAGCCUUAGUAAAAUCGAACUAUAUGCGGGAAACUCCUCGUACAGCCACGCAGUACUCGCUCACGAAUGUGGUGAGCAGUAAAAAUCUGCUGGACAUGGGGACAAUCCGCAGGGAAGGCUUCUAUGAAUGACGAAUUUCAAGAAGAACCCUCAGAGACUUCACGUUCGAUUUCGACCGGUACGAACCUCGAAGCGCAAUGGGUUGUAGGGUUUGUUGAUGGAGAAGGGUGUUUUUACGUAGGAAUACACCCUCACCCUGAAAUGCAAGCAGGAUACCAGGUUUUACCUGAGUUUACUGUAGUGCAGCAUGAACGCGAUGUGCAGAUUUUGUACGCACUCAAGACGUUCUUCGGGUGUGGGGUCGUCCGGCGCAACCAUGAAGACCGGAUGGCGUAUCGGGUAAGAGAUUUUACCCACCUGCGUCAGCGUAUCACACCGUUUUUCGAGAAACAUCCCCUCAAGACCAAAAAGCAAGUAGAUUUUCUCAAGUUUCGUGAUGUUUUGCUCCUGAUGGAGCGCAAAGAACACUUGACGUCGCAAGGCCUAGAGAAAAUUCGCAAAAUCGCUUCUGAGAUGAAUACUGGAAGAAAAAGAUAAAGUCCGGCUCCUCUGGAAACAGAGCGAGGUAAACCGAGCGAAAUUCCUUGUCGGGUAAGUUCCGACCCGCACGAACCGCGUAACAACUAGAGCACUGUCUCAACGAUGGACCCGGUGAAAUUGAAAUGGCUGUGAAGAUGCGGCCUACCCGCAGCAGGACAAAAAGACCCCGUGGAGCUUUACUGCAG
rnacentral:rRNA from 1 species